GAUAAAGAAUUUCAUAAAAGCCUGGUACGAUCGUGGAUUACCCAGAUUACGCUUCGAGGAUUAUGGCAUAAUGUUCCCAAGAGUUCCAAAACAAAAUGACGGCAUGACUGCGGGAUCUUCGUGAUGAAAUUCAUGGAGCUGUGGGACCCAAGGAACCAACCAUCGUGUGCAUUUUCUAAAGACGAUAUACCAAGCAUAAGAAUCAAAAUAUGCAACGAUCUGAUGUUCUCAAACUUCAACAUAGAAGAGGAUGCAAAGAAUUUUGCCUGGAAUUACGUCCCAUCAAUGUACAUCCCAGGGAGCAAAUGAGAAGUAUGGACACUUGAAGAUCUUUUAGCAGGCCAUAGCACAACAGUUUAGAAGCAGAUAGAGAGUUCGGUUUUUUCUUUGUGUCUUUUUUUUAGGGCUACACCUGUUACAUACUAAUGUACGCACGGAUCUGAACAAGUUUAGUCCUCUCUUUUUUUGUUUUUUGGGAUGACCAGCACGACUGUGUUUUUUGUUUGUUUUUUCUUUCUUCAUUUUUUUUGGGAUGACAGAAGUGUAAGAAGUUUAGUUUGAAGACAGCUUUUUAAAAAAAUAAAUAAAGCGCAUCUCUUUCUAAA